UUAAGCGACUAAGCGUACACGGUGGAUGCCCUGGCAGUCAGAGGCGAUGAAGGGCGUGCUAAUCUGCGAUAAGCGCCGGUAAGGUGAUAUGAACCGUUAUAACCGGCGAUACCCGAAUGGGGAAACCCAGUGUGAUUCGUCACACUAUCAUUAACUGAAUCCAUAGGUUAAUGAGGCGAACCGGGGGAACUGAAACAUCUAAGUACCCCGAGGAAAAGAAAUCAACCGAGAUUCCCCCAGUAGCGGCGAGCGAACGGGGAGGAGCCCAGAGCCUGAAUCAGCAUGUGUGUUAGUGGAAGCGUCUGGAAAGGCGCGCGAUACAGGGUGACAGCCCCGUACACAAAAGCGCAUGUGCUGUGAGCUCGAUGAGUAGGGCGGGACACGUGGUAUCCUGUCUGAAUAUGGGGGGACCAUCCUCCAAGGCUAAAUACUCCUGACUGACCGAUAGUGAACCAGUACCGUGAGGGAAAGGCGAAAAGAACCCCGGCGAGGGGAGUGAAAAAGAACCUGAAACCGUGUACGUACAAGCAGUGGGAGCCCCACCACUAAGCCAGUGGUGAACUCCACAUACGCAUCCUUUGCUGAGGAUACGGUUAACGGAGCGAAAGCGACGUUCAACCUCAAAAGAAGCAGAGGGGGCUUAGUGGUGGGGUGACUGCGUACCUUUUGUAUAAUGGGUCAGCGACUUAUAUUCUGUAGCAAGGUUAACCGAAUAGGGGAGCCGGAGGNGUGACUGCGUACCUUUUGUAUAAUGGGUCAGCGACUUAUAUUCUGUAGCAAGGUUAACCGUAUAGGGGAGCCGGAGGGAAACCGAGUCUUAACCGGGCGUUAAGUUGCAGGGUAUAGACCCGAAACCCGGUGAUCUAGCCAUGGGCAGGUUGAAGGUUGGGUAACACUAACUGGAGGACCGAACCGACUAAUGUUGAAAAAUUAGCGGAUGACCUGUGGCUGGGGGUGAAAGGCCAAUCAAACCGGGAGAUAGCUGGUUCUCCCCGAAAGCUAUUUAGGUAGCGCCUCGUGAAUUCAUCUCCGGGGGUAGAGCACUGUUUCGGCUAGGGGGCCAUCCCGGCUUACCAACCCGAUGCAAACUGCGAAUACCGGAGAAUGUUAUUACGGGAGACACACGGCGGGUGCUAACGUCCGUCGUGAAGAGGGAAACAACCCAGACCGCCAGCUAAGGUCCCAAAGUCAUGGUUAAGUGGGAAACGAUGUGGGAAGGCCCAGACAGCCAGGAUGUUGGCUUAGAAGCAGCCAUCAUUUAAAGAAAGCGUAAUAGCUCACUGGUCGAGUCGGCCUGCGCGGAAGAUGUAACGGGGCUAAACCAUGCACCGAAGCUGCGGCAGCGAGUAAUAGCUCACUGGUCGAGUCGGCCUGCGCGGAAGAUGUAACGGGGCUAAACCAUGCACCGAAGCUGCGGCAGCGAACGUAUCACUUAAAGCGAUUCAGCGGGUUACGAUUGACGGAGCGAAGCGACGUCAAAGCGUAUACAAAGUCGAGUCGGUUUAAGGAUACGUUCGUUGGGUAGGGGAGCGUUCUGUAAGCCUGUGAAGGUGGCCUGUGAGGGUUGCUGGAGGUAUCAGAAGUGCGAAUGCUNGUUGGGUAGGGGAGCGUUCUGUAAGCCUGUGAAGGUGGCCUGUGAGGGUUGCUGGAGGUAUCAGAAGUGCGAAUGCUGACAUAAGUAACGAUAAAGCGGGUGAAAAGCCCGCUCGCCGGAAGACCAAGGGUUCCUGUCCAACGUUAAUCGGGGCAGGGUGAGUCGACCCCUAAGGCGAGGCCGAAAGGCGUAGUCGAUGGGAAACGGGUUAAUAUUCCCGUACUUGGUGUUACUGCGAAGGGGGGACGGAGAAGGCUAUGUUGGCCGGGCGACGGUUGUCCCGGUUUAAGCGUGUAGGUGUGUGUUCCAGGUAAAUCCGGUUCACUUUAACACUGAGGCGUGACGACGAGGCACUACGGUGCUGAAGCAACAAAUGCCCUGCUUCCAGGAAAAGCCUCUAAGCAUCAGGUAACAUCAAAUCGUACCCCAAACCGACACAGGUGGUCAGGUAGAGAAUACCAAGGCGCUUGAGAGAACUCGGGUGAAGGAACUAGGCAAAAUGGUGCCGUAACUUCGGGAGAAGGCACGCUGACAUGUAGGUGAAGUGAUUUACUCAUGGAGCUGAAGUCAGUCGAAGAUACCAGCUGGCUGCAACUGUUUAUUAAAAACACAGCACUGUGCAAACACGAAAGUGGACGUAUACGGUGUGACGCCUGCCCGGUGCCGGAAGGUUAAUUGAUGGGGUCAGCGCAAGCGAAGCUCCUGAUCGAAGCCCCGGUAAACGGCGGCCGUAACUAUAACGGUCCUAAGGUAGCGAAAUUCCUUGUCGGGUAAGUUCCGACCUGCACGAAUGGCGUAAUGAUGGCCAGGCUGUCUCCACCCGAGACUCAGUGAAAUUGAACUCGCUGUGAAGAUGCAGUGUACCCGCGGCAAGACGGAAAGACCCCGUGAACCUUUACUAUAGCUUGACACUGAACAUUGAGCCUUGAUGUGUAGGAUAGGUGGGAGGCUUUGAAGUGUGGACGCCAGUCUGCAUGGAGCCGACCUUGAAAUACCACCCUUUAAUGUUUGAUGUUCUAACGUGGACCCGUAAUCCGGGUUGCGGACAGUGUCUGGUGGGUAGUUUGACUGGGGCGGUCUCCUCCUAAAGAGUAACGGAGGAGCACGAAGGUUGGCUAAUCCUGGUCGGACAUCAGGAGGUUAGUGCAAUGGCAUAAGCCAGCUUGACUGCGAGCGUGACGGCGCGAGCAGGUGCGAAAGCAGGUCAUAGUGAUCCGGUGGUUCUGAAUGGAAGGGCCAUCGCUCAACGGAUAAAAGGUACUCCGGGGAUAACAGGCUGAUACCGCCCAAGAGUUCAUAUCGACGGCGGUGUUUGGCACCUCGAUGUCGGCUCAUCACAUCCUGGGGCUGAAGUAGGUCCCAAGGGUAUGGCUGUUCGCCAUUUAAAGUGGUACGCGAGCUGGGUUUAGAACGUCGUGAGACAGUUCGGUCCCUAUCUGCCGUGGGCGCUGGAGAACUGAGGGGGGCUGCUCCUAGUACGAGAGGACCGGAGUGGACGCAUCACUGGUGUUCGGGUUGUCAUGCCAAUGGCACUGCCCGGUAGCUAAAUGCGGAAGAGAUAAGUGCUGAAAGCAUCUAAGCACGAAACUUGCCCCGAGAUGAGUUCUCCCUGAGACUUAGAGUCUCCUGAAGGAACGUUGAAGACGACGACGUUGAUAGGCCGGGUGUGUAAGCGCAGCGAUGCGUUGAGCUAACCGGUACUAAUGAACCGUGAGGCUUAACCUU
rnacentral:rRNA from 1 species